UCCCUGUGUACCUGAGGCCUUCCAGAGCAAUACAGGUACAAUGAACCCUUCUUCAGUCUGCCUGGGAAAGCUGUGGGCUCUGCAGUGUCUCUCCCUUUUCUCAUCCCCAAGCAGUGCUGGCAGAGUUUGCUGUUUGCCUGAAAUGGUCUGAAAUGUAAUAGCCCAAGACAAUCAUCAGUAUGAAAUAUCUCCUACAUAAAAUAUGCAGCAGCUAUUCAGGAACAAAGAUGGAGUGGAACGAGGGCUGCCAGAUAAAGAUUUAAAGGCACUGCCAUGUUCCUAUAGGUUGUUUACUGAAGAUAUUUUCUCCUAAGCCCCAGUUUUAAGACUGCCUUUCAAAAGAGGGCACCAAAUAAAAUUUAGCAAGGAGCUUUAACAAUUCAUGCUACCAUGUGCUGAGCUUUUCCAUGCCCUUAUGGGAAUGAGACCUCAUUUCAAAGGACCUUGACUUCCUUCUGAUAGUGCAGGAGAAGUGGCACUGCCAGUGCUAUUUUUGCACCGAGACACUGAUGGGGUGUGAAGCCUGUCUCUGGUGGCUAUGCCAGCAGAUCCAGGCAGACAAAACAUGGAUGCGUGUGGCCUGAUUUCCCCUGGUAUUCUGGGGAAUCUGGAGGUGCUCUCAGUGAAGCCAGGCCAGUUGGGCAGCAGGCGGUGUGGAAAAAGCUUUCCCAGCAAUCCUGUGUGGCUGCGUGUCCCCAUCCUGUAGCCUGGGUGGGGAAGGGAUGCAUAGGGUGUAGCUGAGAAUCCCUGCAGACAUACAGGGUUGCAGCUUUGUGUGCAGCCCCUGGGGGCCUGUGCUGCUCUCCCCAUCCCAGCUGGCUCUGGGUGACUGGAGCAUUGCUGUGUCAGUGCCUGCCAGCAGACACCCCAUGAGUAAUUGUGGUCCGCCUGUGGAUGCAGCAUCUGUUUAGGAUCUCUGCCUGUUACUCAGACUGGAAGCAGGCAUUUCAGUACGCAAAACUGUCUGACACAGAAACAGUAAUGAAAUGCAAGGCAAUCAGAGCCCUGUUCGUAGGCUGGACAGCUUGCUGUUUCCAGCCCAGGCAAUGCAGAGCCACGGAGUAUCCUGGGUUGGAAAGGACCACAAGAAUUACUGCAUCUGACUCCUGGUGACCCGCGGGUGCUGGGAACCCCUGGGCUCAGAACGGUGCCCUAUCUCAGUGCUGCAAUGCUGUGCUCCACUGCUGUGCAGGCAGGAGGAGCUGUGCCCAAAAGACACCGGGUCUGGGUGUUGAAGGCUUUGGGUCGCAGUGGGAAGCACUGUCCUGCAACCCGCUGGUGCAGUCAGCACUCCCGAAGUGCAAACUAAUGUUUUGUUCUAGCUGCUCUCUCCCCACCCCCCACCUUUCCUGGGCUACCAGUGAUGCUGUUGGCAGCUCGCACCCAGGCAGCUGCUCAACA